CCGUACGUGUGGCUGAGAAGUUGUCCAGGAAGAAAUCGGAGAGGUUCACUUAUCUUGUUGCUGCGGUGAUGUCCAGCUAUGGCUGUUUAUUACAGAUUUUACUGGCAAAUGGAGGGUGGGAAUGUGCCUUUGUCUGAAAUGUUGGGUACAUUUGCUCUAUCUGUUGGUGCUGCUGUGGGAAUGGAGUUUUGGGCAAGAUGGGCUCAUAAAGCUCUCUGGCACGCUUAUGGCAUAUGCACGAGUCUCACCACACAGACCCAGAGAAGGUCCAUUCGAGCUUAACGAUGGACUGAAA